CGGGCGGGGCGCGCCAGGUGCCCGCAGGGGCCUGCGCUUCCAGGCUUCCGUCAGGGGUCUCGAGCCCGGCCUCAGUUUACCCUGCCGGCGCGCCCGUCUGGAUCCAAGCGUGGCCGCUUCCCAGCUUAGAACAACCGUCCCAGGCCUCGACCCCCUGGGAGGGCAAAAUGAGGGGGCUUGAGUCGAAGUGCCCUUGCAGAAAACACCUUAGCACAGCCGUGUCUGCGGAUCCGUAGGCGUAAAGAGCACGAUUUUCCUGGAGCCCUGCACUGUGUGCCCAGCCUUUGCCCUUGAGGGACUCACACACCUUCAGUGAAGAUGUUAUUCCCAAGCAUGGGCUUCCUGCAGCAAGGAAGGCGACACAGAGCAACAAGCAGUACGAUAUAAAUGGAAGGGAACACUAUCAAGCAAGUGCCACUUGACAAAGGUUUAUUAAUUCCUACAUUCAGAUAUCAUCUCGAGGCCAUACUAAGGAAUGGCUGUGAACUAGGCACGGUGAAAGUAAGAUAAAUCUGGACACUUAAGCCGAAGCUUGCAUGCUUUUGGAAAAGUAAAGAUACAGGGAUUGGCGUAUAGCUGAGAUGUACAGUGCUUGCCUUUAUUUUACCCAUUUUACAGGUAAGAAAAUUGAGGCAUGCAGAAAUUAAGUAACUACGUGAUGGUGUACGUAGUGAAUGGAAAAAGCUAGGGUUUGAGCCCAAUUCAGACAGUGCCAGUGACAUUGCCGAUGUGCCAUGUAGCAUGUGCUCUGCUGUAUAGCCUAGAGUGGCUCCCAGGGAGCAGCUCAGAUGUCAACUGUGGGCAUCAAGACAGGGUUGGUGUUUUGCAACUGCAUGUUAUAAUUGAAAAGACAAGGGUCAUCACUGACAACCAACAAGUGAAGAAUUAUUGUGAACCAGAAUUUUAUCUGUGUCUUCAAAUAUUACCCCAAAGUCUGUUUCCCUGGUAAAGGGAGAUCUUUACAAUGAAAAGAUCUGGCAUAAUCACCUUAAUCAUGUAAUUAAAAUUAGUAUCCAAUUUUUUAAAAAAAAACUGGCAUUUUCUGCUUUUUGAAGUGAUACAAUGAAAAUUUGUGAAGGAUAAUAUAUAAAGGAGGGUAAAAUCAUGACUCAGAUGCAGAUGUGAA
rnacentral:lncRNA from 1 species